AAUUAUUGGCUAUAAUGCUAAUGGUUUUCUUCUUUUUCCUUAUCCGAGUUCUAGCUAGGUAAAAACAUAGCUGUCUAGCAGUUUGCUGCACAUUUCCUGUGAAAGUGAAGAUUCUCCUUUCUUAAUGAAGAGCAGCUCACAUACGAUGACAAAACAGAAGCAAGAGAGCAUAUGUUGGAGUACCUGGCAUUCCAUCUCAUGAGAGAAUGAACCAGAAUGGGGCAUAUGCUUCUAACCUGAAGACAAGACUGCAGAACUGACUAUAUACACAGUCCUGUGUCAUUUAAAGACAGGGAUACAUUCUGAGAAAUGCAUCAUGAGGCAGUUUCAUCAUUGUGCGAAUAUCAUGGAGUGUCCUUACACAAAGCUAGACGGUAUACACCUACUACAUACCUAGGCUCUAUGGUAUAGCCUAUUGAUCCUAGGUUACAAACCUGUACAGCAUGUUACUGUACUCAAUACUGUAAGCAAUUAUAACACAACGGUAAGUAUUUUUUUGUGUAUCUAAACAUAUCUCAAGAUAGAAAAGGCACAGUAAAAAUAUGGUAUUAUAAUCUUAUGGGACCGCCAUUUUAUGUUCAGUCCAUUAUUGACCAAAACAUCAUUAUGCAGUGCAUGACUGUAUUUGUGUAAGGAAAUUUAAAAAUAAAAAGGUAUGUUUGGAAACUGAGAUUAAAAGAGGGAUCAUAAAGUGCUGAAAGGACUCCUGUUUGAACCCUGAAAUUUCUCUAGCACUGUUCCUAAACUUUUGGGGUCACUGGCCAGUUAAUAACUGUAGGCAAACCAGAGAGCAUGUACCUUCUAAAUGUACCUACACGUGAAAUUAUGCAUACAAUUUUGGGGAUUCACAGAAAAGUCCUUAAAAGUCUGUCCAUGUGAUUGCUCUCAGUAUGUAUGAGAACACCUGGCCUGAGUGAAAAUUCUCCAUCAGGAGGCUUUUCCCCAUGGCGAACAUGGAGUUAGAGGUUGAAGGCUAAGGAGCAGUUUUGUAGGUAGAAAAGAGAGAAAGAGGCCAGGCGUGGUGGCUCAUGCCUGUAAUCCCAGUACCUUGGGAGGCCAAGUUGGGCAGAUCACUUAAGGUCAGGAGUUCGAGACCAGCCCGGCCAAUAUGGUGAAACCCCAUCUCUACUAAAAAUACAAAAAUUAUCUGGGCAUGGUGACACGUGCCUGUAAUCCCAGCUAUUCAGGAGGCUGAGGCACAAAAAUUGCUUGAACCGGGGAGGCAGAGGUUGCAGUGAGCCGAGAUCGCACCACUGCACUCCAGCCUAGGCGACAAGAGUGAGACUCGGUCUCAAAAAAAAAAAAAAAAAAAAAGAAAAAGGAAAGAGAGAAAGGCAUUGCAGUAGAGGGGAUUUCAUGGAUGAAGUUACAGAAGGGUGAAAGGGAAUAGUGGAGUGGUCUCUGGGGAAGAGCGAAAGGGCUGGGACUAGAUGAAGAACAGUUUUUUAUGCCAUGCUAAGGGGUUUCACUUUGUCUCUAGAGAGUAUCAAAGUGCUCAGAGAUUUACAGCAGAAUGAGGCUAAUGGAGGUCUCGAAGCCCCUACUAGAGUUAUAACGAGAGCAGCUACAUUUUAUGAUUUAUAUAUAAGAUUUGGUUUGAAUUAUAUAGCUUUAAAAUGUUGGGAAAAUGUUAUAAGCAAUAGACACCAGAGAAGAAUUUUAAACAGGAGAUUGACUUGAGCCCAUUUGUAUCUGAAAAGAUAAUGCAGGCCACUGAAGCACGAGAACGCCAGUGAGGAAGUCCAUAUGAGUCACAUCUCUAUCUCAGCACUGUCCAUACUUUCUGCAGUGAUGAGAGUGUUUUGCAUCUGUGCUGUCCCAUGCAGAAGCCACUGGCCGCACGGGGCGACCAAGCUCGAAAUGUGGCCAGAGUGAUGGAAAAGCUGAAGUUGUAAUAUUAUUCAAUUGUAAUUAGUUUAAAUAGCUGUGUAUGGCUACAGCUACUAUUUUAGGCAGUGCAACUGUAAUCAGUGGUCUCCUGUCUCCACAAAGGAAGGUAGCCCUGCCCAUACCUUGAUUUUAGCACACGGAGACCUGUGUUAGACUUCAGACCUGUGGAACUGUAAGAUGAUGCAUUUGUAUCAUUUUAAGCCACUGUGUUUGUGGUAAGUAGUUAUGGCAGCAGUAGAAAAGUGAUGCAGUUUAAAAUGGCAUCAUUAAAGGGGCUUUUGGGCAAACGUUAUUUCGGGUUAAAAGUUACCAACUGAGAUAAUUUUUUGAAAAAGUUUAUUUUUUUAUUUGAGUAGUAUAUGGGCAUUAUACAAAAUCUGGAGAAAGCACAGGACACUAUAAAGAGGAAGAAAGCCCCUUUCAGAGGUAGAUAAUAAUAUUUGGAUAUAUGGAUAUAUUCUCCCUAGUUUUUUAAUUGUAUUUUUAUAGUGGAGAUGAUAAAGAGCUAACAGUUAUUGAGUGAUUGUAAUGUGCUAAUCCCUGUUCUAAAUACUUCACUGAUAUUAACUCAUUUCAUCCUCAUUACAAUCUGUGAUGUAGGCACGGUCUUCCCAUUUCCCAGAUGAAGAAACUGAAGCAAAAAGAUACAUCACUGGCUUACCUGAUUAGACACAGCAGAGUAAGGCAUCUGCCCCAGGCAGUAAGUUUCGGAGCAAAGACUAAUUCUAUGGUGUACUGCCCAUAUUCUGAAUAUAUUACUUUUAAUCUUGAUUCCUUUCACUUAACCCUUUAAAUUCAAAAAUUUCUCAUGUUAUUAACAACUCUUAAAUGUGGUUUGCAGAUCGUGUAGGUGGUACAAGUGUCACCAUUUUCUUUUUGCCACAUUUAUGCCAAAAAUUAUAAUGACCUCUUUAUCAUUGAGAAGAGGUGUGUUAGAAAUAGAAAUUCUUUAGGUUAAAAAUGAAGUUAGCAUAAUGCUAGUUUAUUAAUAAAGAUGGAGGGUGUAGGAGCAAGUGUCAGAUACAUUUGUAAAGUUAUUUACUUGGAACUUGAAGCUAAUUUUUCUGUAAAGUAAUAUGAUACAUAAUUGGACCUUCAGUAGCCCCCAUCUUCCCACAUGCCUAUUUUCUCUGCAAAGUAAUGGAAAUAGUAAAUGCUGUUAGUAUGUUGAGAUUCAACCCAAGAGCUUAUGUAUAAGGGAAAAACAAAUUCCCCCUAGGGAGUGCAACUAUAAAAUUAGUAUAAAAUCGAUCAGAACAGAGACAUGCAAAGUUACCUUUAAGAAGCAAAAUAGCUUUGGGGUCUAUACGAAUGUUGCUCAAAGAAGGGAAACUCAGUUCUUAGCCCUGGAAGAACUGAAAAAUUAGCCCCUUGAACAACCACUGGCAGCAUCCCCAGGUGGUACUACAUAUUGUAGAGAGAGCUUUAGCCAAUGACUGCUGAAAGGUCUGUCUCUCUGGAAGAUAGAUGCAUCAGCCUGUUUUAGGGAGUGUAGCUAAAAUCAGCUAACUCUCUUGUUUUAUUUGCAUACUCGCCUAAUAACUUCUGGUUAAAAUUGGGCUUCUUAUAUAGGUCUACAGGGAGACGUUUCUCUGGUUUUGUUGCCACAAGUUUUACAGCUCUGUCAUAAUUAUGUUUAUUAUUGUAAAUUAAAAGAUAGGUGGUGUAGUUCUAUAAAUGUUUCCUGAGUUUGAUUAAUUCAAAUGUACCCCUUGAGAGAUGGAUCCAUUCUUAGUAAGCUGACAAAAUCAGACCUCAAGCAGAGCCUGUGAUCUGAAGGUCAGGCCCUGAACCAGGUACCCACCGGCUAGCCUGGGUCUUCCCCUUGCUUUACUUCCUCUAACAUUAUCAUUGGCCAAAGCUAGGCUCCUAUUAUUAUUUAAGUAAUUUCAGUGUGUGUUUGUAAUAAAAGAAUAGGAAAAAUAUAGUUGCAGUCAGUAAUUGCUGCGAAAGGAGGGAAAGAGCAAAAAAAUAACAGUUUAAUUGGAGAAAGAUGUAACUGCUGUUGCUGCUGAUAAUGACGAAUAACAUUAAUUGUGGACUUAAAAAUUUGGGAGGCAUUGUGUUAUACACUUUAAAUAAGUUAUUUCAUUUAAUCCUAACAACCCCAAGAGGAAGGUACAUUAUUGUGCACAAUUUACCAAUGAGGAAAUCGAGGGAUUUAAAGGUCAAGUAACUCACCCAUGGUCAGAUAUCCAGAAAGUGCAGAGCCAAGAUUACGGUCCAGGCAGCACAAGCCUUUGCCCAAACUCUCAACUGCAAAUCUCGAUUAAGAAGCUGGGAAGGAGGCUCUAGGGGAGAAACUAUGGGAGCCCUUUAUUUCAGCUUCAGGAGUUGAUUUCUCUGGUUUAUGGUUAAACUUUCUUCUUUUUGACCAGGUAUAUCAUUAACUUCUCAUACUGACUAGUCCAGAUAUGAUUCCAGUCUUGGCUCACUACUCAACCAAAUGGUGGGGUGGGGGUGGAGAGCUAAGAAAAGUGGAUAAGAAUUGGAAGAGGCUGAGGCAGAGUGAGAUGGAAGAGGUCAAAGAUGAUAAAUGUGUAUGGAAAAGGUGGCCAGAUAAAAAAAAAAUUAAGCAGUGCGCAUCAACAGAAGGAAAGAGGGACGGCAGGUUUGAUGCCCAAUCAUAAUCCCUUUGAGGGAGAAAAAGAGUAGAUCAGACACCGGUAACUAGAGAAUCUUUGUUUCUGACUGGAGAGGCAGUGUGGGGGGGUAAUGGAAGCAUGCUCAGUUGGAUGUCAGCCUGCGUGUUCCCUGAUUUGUAACUGGAAGUCCUUGCUAUUGCCUUUGAGCUCUGGAACUGUUUUAUUGCUUUUAUAAACUACUAGUUAUCUUCUUUUAGGGGGACAUAACAGAUGGUCAUGCUGGAACUGAGCUUUUUAUCUGAAUCUUCAAAACCUUUUUGUGCACAAUUUAUGAGGUUCACUUCUUUGCAAAUUCAGUGCUUUCUUGUCGCUUUUCCUUUUGAGAUGAGCCACAAGAGCCUCAUUUUCGUUAGGCAUUGCCUAUUAGUGGCAAAACUCCUUUCUUUUCUAAUCAGCUUCUCCAAAGGAGUAAGGCUGAAUCCAGAUAGGUUCUGUUUAUGAGGGCAAAAAGAUUUUGGUGGUCUAACUAAAAAUAACGCAUGGAAUUUGCCACCUGGGUCUCCCUUUGAUAUUCAUCUUAUAUUUUUAUGCAUUUUGCUCAUGAAGUUCCUGCUCAUAAGUCAGCCCCUUUGAGCAUGGAAGAAAUGUGACUGGGUUAAGUGUUUGUGGCUAUAGAAAGGACAACCCCAACCGGUCAUGUGGUGGGAAGGCAAGGCUGACAUAAUCCCAGAUCCUUGCCUUGUUGGGUUCAGAAUAUACAGAGGAUCGUUGCAUACACUCUCAGUUGAAUGAAGAAAAAAAAUGAGUAAAACAGUAUUAUCUAUGAAAAAAAAAAAAAACUCAGAAAAUGGUAUGUUUUUCAUAAUUACCAGAAACCUGUAAGAUAGUUGGAUACACACUGGGCUCAGAAAACAACCAAACCAAAAUCAACUUUGCAGACUUCAGCAUCUUCGUAGUUCAUUUUGUUCUAUAGGCUUGUUUCCCAAAUCAUUUGGAAUUAAUACUGUUCUGGUUUAUUAUUCAAAUCCUGAAUCCACCAGAGAUACUUUUGCCAGCUUUUGUGCAGUCUCUGAAUAUUACCUAACUCCAGAGUGGCAGUGUAGGGUCUAAGAAAACACAAACUUUGGAGUCAAAGCCUUUGGGUCUGCUACAUAUAAGCUGCAUAACUUCAGGCUAAUUGUUAGAGUCUUUAAAUCCUUCAGUUUUUCUCAACUGCAAAGUGGAAAUAAUAAUAACUAUCUUCCAGGGUUAUUAUAAAGAUGAAAUCACACGUACACACACAUAUAUAUGUAUAUAUGUGUAUAUAUAUAUAUAUACACACACAUAUAUAUACACAUACACACACAUAUAUUUAUAUAUUGCAUAGUUUGUACUUUGCAUGUAUGUAUGUAUGUGUAAAGUGCUGGCCUGUAAUACACACAAGAAACAAUAGUUGCAUUAUUGUUGUUUGGUUGCACUUUGCCCCUCUGUUGUCCUUGUGAAGGAAGAAAUGCUUCUCUCAGUGUUGGGUAUUGUUUGCUUAUGAAGUCUCUGAAAAGUUCUUCAAUAAAGAAGCCUGUUAAAAUUCUUA